rnacentral:rRNA from 1 species
UACAGAGGGUGCGAGCGUUGUCCGGAAUCACUGGGCGUAAAGGGCGCGUAGGUGGCGGGAUAAGUGUGUGGUGAAAGCUCGGGGCUCAACCCCGAGUCUGCCAUGCAGACUGUCUUGCUCGAGCAUAGUAGAGGCAGGUGGAAUUCCGGGAGUAGCGGUGGAAUGCGUAGAGAUCCGGAAGAACACCGGUGGCGAAGGCGGCCUGCUGGGCUAUUGCUGACACUGAGGCGCGACAGCGUGGGGAGCAAACAGG